GCGGGGUGGAGCAGCCUGGUAGCUCGUCGGGCUCAUAACCCGAAGGUCGUCGGUUCAAAUCCGGCCCCCGAC
rnacentral:tRNA from 1 species